rnacentral:rRNA from 1 species
UAGGGAAUCUUCCACAAUGGACGCAAGUCUGAUGGAGCAACGCCGCGUGAGUGAAGAAGGUCUUCGGGUCGUAAAACUCUGUUGUUAGAGAAGAACACGAGUGAGAGUAACUGUUCAUUCGAUGACGGUAUCUAACCAGCAAGUCACGGCUAACUACGUGCCAGCAGCCGCGGUAAUACGUAGGUGGCAAGCGUUGUCCGGAUUUAUUGGGCGUAAAGGGAACGCAGGCGGUCUUUUAAGUCUGAUGUGAAAGCCUUCGGCUUAACCGGAGUAGUGCAUUGGAAACUGGAAGACUUGAGUGCAGAAGAGGAGAGUGGAACUCCAUGUGUAGCGGUGAAAUGCGUAGAUAUAUGGAAGAACACCAGUGGCGAAAGCGGCUCUCUGGUCUGUAACUGACGCUGAGGUUCGAAAGCGUGGGUAGCAAACAGGAUUAGAUACCCUGGUAGUCCACGCCGUAAACGAUGAAUGCUAGGUGUUGGAGGGUUUCCACCCUUCAGUGCCGCAGCUAACGCAAUAAGCAUUCCGCCUGGGGAGUACGACCGCAAGGUUG